GUCUCUCAGCCAGUUUAAGCUGGUGUUAAAGUAGACAAGCAGACUGGUUAAGACCACCAAGACUAAAUGAAGUUGUUUGUCACAGACAUCUUAGGAGGAAGAGAAUACAGAUACCAGACAUUUUCUUUACUAAAAUGGACAGUUUUUUUUUCUUUCUUUUUUUCCUUUUAAAAGAUUUUUUAUAUAGAAGAAAUCUGAAAAUUUGGAGGCAGCACCGGCUUUUUUUAAAUGAAGAAUGGUGUAUAUGAACUGAGUCUGUCUGCAUGAUGCAGCUCUGAUUUCUUGGAAUAGAAACCCUAACUAAGACACAUCCCUAAGCAGAAACUACUGCGGCUCAGGAUACUUGGUGCUCGAAACC
rnacentral:sRNA from 1 species